ACACCAUCUUCACAUUCAUCUGUCCGUCUGGGAAACAGCGCUGGAAAUAAUCAGGCCGGGGUCUGGAAAUAACAAAGGAGGGUCUCUGUAUCAUCUGUGGGGCGAGUCCAGUGCACCGUUCAGAAGGAACGUGUGAUGUUUGGGUGCGGCUCACCUGCCGACAAUCAGCUUGAUGGUAUUUGUGAAGACUCCAUUCAGGGCGAGAGCUAGGGACACGGCUAGAAAAGGAACAGUGGCUCGAGGUUAAAAGCGUCUUCCACCUGUUUGUGUUGUGUGUGAAGCAGGUAAGUAAGACAUUCGAUUUGCCUUCAAAUACAUCAGAUAUUAAGAGAACGAUUGAUGCUGCUGUAAAUGAAUAAUGAAUAGAAGCAGCUAAUUGUGUCUUUUCAUUCUCUCAACCUGUGCAUGUGUAUUUUCUGCUGCCCUUGUGAGGCCACUUCACACAAUGGCAUCACUGGAACCAGGUGGGACCUGACUGACUUCCACUGCGUUACACUCGCCGGCAUGUGAAGCACUACCGCAGGUCCUUCAGCUCAAUUUUGCUAACACACCCUGUUGACUGCAGGAUUCCAACUGGCAACGACAAAACUUAUCUGAAUACAAACUUUGGGCUUCUCAUCUUAUUCAGCCAACUUGAAUUGGUUUGUAUGGAAACCCACGGCUGCUGUGUAAACUCUAUAGCGCUGAGGCAGGUCUUUUACUGUACAUGCAGUGCAAAUUGAUUAUGUGAGACACAGAGUAGCAUGUACCGUAUCAGCACACUUUUAGUCGCAGUCGUUUCCAUUACUUUUUUCACUGAGACGCUGAGGAACUCCACCAAAAUCAGUCCUUACUCAUUUACUGUCAGGACCAAUGUCUUCAGAAUUUGUGCAGAGUGAAAGAACUGUCCUGAAAGGCACCAUUACCCAGAGCGGUUAGACUACAAAUGCUGUUUGUGUAGCACAAGUCCCAAAUGGGCCUUGAAUCCAAUAAAGAAAAUCCUUAAAUGAGACCAGAAUGAAAAAUAACCACUGUAUUAUUAUAUUUGAUAAAGCGGGCUCUAAAGUUAAGCUCUUUUUAGAGGGAACCGAGACAGUGUGUUAUUUCAACACAACUAAUGUAACAGAAUGUAUCAGACUAAGAUGUAGAUUCAACCUAAAGGUGUUAUGAGCUAAACUAUUCCACCAUUCUCAUAAUGAGAAAACCCAAGACUGUAACUUCUCUUGCAGCACACACUAACAAGAUAAUGAAGGUCACAGUGAGUCAUAAUGUAGCUUUAUGGAAAUCUCUUCCAUGCGCUGUUUCAAUAGCCAGAUUAAUUUCUGCACCUCCAGGGACUCUGUCAGAGUAAUAAGCCCGACUGCUGGAGAGUUUGACCCAAGCAGCCUGUGGGUUGGGAGGGGCUCACUCUUCCGUUUAUAAUUUAGUGGGCUGUCAUCAGCAAAGAUCCAUGGAUGCUGAUGUUAAUAUAAACUGUCAACACUUUUUAAAAAGCUCAAUGAUACAGGAAAUAGAAAUGAUAGAGGGCAGAUUAAGUGCAGAUAUGCUCAAGGGUUAUCUCUUGCCUGUGUUGCUGCAGACGAAUGGUGGAGAGUUGCAUGUGCUUUCGUUGGCUUCUAUGACCGAUGUGCUCUAGUUCUUAUAACGAACAAUCAACAGGCGUCAUUUAAAGCUUAACAUUAUACUGUAUGAAACUCAGCAUUAGGUGUCUAAAAUACCCCCUCCCCCCAACACAGUCAAAUUAUGAAUUACACAAAUUAUUGUGCCUGCUCAGUUUACACUGUAUGUAGUGUCUAGUUGCUGUUUGAGAUGAAUCACAGACAACACUUCAACCACUUUGCAGCAGUUGCACCACAAACUGUAAUGAGGUGAGUGAUUUGUGUAGGGGGGUGACACGCGAGUGGAGCCGCAGUCUGUCCAACACUCACAGGUGAGACUCAGACAGUCAGGUGAGACUGUUUGAAUAUAUGGUGAUGUCCAUUAAAUGAACCGUCAUCUGACAAGUGAGUGUGCAGAAUAUUUUAGAUCUGUGUUGCAUGUAAACUGUUGACAAAUUGAAAACUCUGGCCUUUGUGUGGUGGAAACCAUAUGAAAUACAUAAACUGUAUAAAAUACAUGAAAAAUAAAUGAAGUGUUUCAGGGACUGGGGGUCAAAUUAUAAAUGGGAGCAUUUACUAGUGCAGAGCUCCAAUCAACAUGGGGUUUGCUUCUCUGGAGGAACAGACACAACAUUCACAGCUGAUGUGACAAACUGCCACUUUACAGAAGUUACAUGAUAAAAAAUAACCUCGCUAAGCUUUAACUUGCAGCCUCAGGCAACAUGAGCAAAGCAUUAGACAGCUGUGUUGCUUCUUGUCGGGAAUCUUUAAAACAUUGAUGAGGUACAAUUCUGUUUUACUUUUGAUUAUUGGUCUGGUUUCUCUUUGUAGCUUUUUAUAACAUCAGUGCAGAAAACACAUCUAUUUCUGUUUUGGCACAUUUAGUGUUUGUAUUUACCAGAACCACUUGGGAAUAUAUGAGCAUCUGUGUCCACCAUCUCCAUGUGAAAUGUGUGAGUCAUAGUCAAUAUAGUGCGAUGUCUUUGCAGUGAUUGUUGCUGAAACCUGUACAGAGAAUGAAACGAGCGCACACAGUUCAAUAUGUGGAGGAUGGAGGUGUUUGCCCAGAUCCUUCAGCUUAUUUGCGAAGUGUUUACAGUGUGAGCCAAGGUAAAAGAUGUUCGGUCCAGGCUGUAUGAGUUUAAAAUCUAUCCCACUACUACACUACUACAGUACAACUGUGUGAAACCCCUCUUACAUCCGGUCUCCAGCUUUAAAGCGGUGAUUCUCCUACAUGACAGCUUUCUGCAGCUGCAGGUUACUAAUGAGCUGUCUUGUAGACAGCGAUAAUGAAAACAUUAUUAUGUGGCAAUCAAGUUCGCAAUAAGAGGACAGCAGGUACUUACGAACAUGACCCUCUUGGGAAUGUGGUCUGAUUCGACCAGAGGGUUCUUGUAGAGCCAAAGCUCCUCUGGUUGGAUCACUCUCUCGAAGGGCUCCAGAAACUCUGUAAAU